CGAUCACCUCGGCCCUCGUGCACCAUUGCCUCUCGCCCUCUCCUUCUUCGUCUGUCCUGCAGGACAUUUUCAAAGCAAUGGGUAGCUCUAAAAAGGACAAGUUGAAGUCUACAUCGGGUGACAGGUCAGACAGAUUAAGCAGUCUACCUCUAGAGGUAAAGGGUGAUAUCCUCGUGUCUGAAUGUGCACGAUGCUGUUCGAAAUAGCGUCCUGUCAAGCACUUGGAGGGACACAUGGACUACUAUUCUGGACAUGUUGCUGCUCAAUUGCACCUACAGCCCGUCAAGGUUCAUUAACAAGUGCAGUGUCGAAUUUUAUGGCAUUAUCACUCCACAAGGGACCUCUGCAUGGGAUUACAAUUCUAGGGAACAAAAACUACCAUAACGCAUUUGGUAGGUAGAUGCUCAUGCUGUCAAGGAAGUCAGCAGCAAUCAAAUUGACCUCUGCCAAAGUAUAGGAUGCUCUCAUGCCUCUUCUGUAUGAGUGAUUUAGUCUAUCUGGCCAUAGAGAGCUGUACCAUCAAUUUACCCCAAAUGUUCAAAGAUUUUGAGUGGUUAACUAAUUUGGAGCUGGAAAAUUUCUCCUCAACAGAAAUUGACAUUAACAAACUGUGUUGAUUUUGAAAUCUUUGAAAGGCAUCAUCUGUCUGAACGUUCAAGCUCCUGCACUUCAAUAUCUAGAGGUUGAUGGGAAGUUCGAAGACUUCCAUUUGGAUGCCCUUAAUCUGGAAAAUACAGAUGUCAUUCUGCACAAAGCGCAAGCACACCAAUCUGUUCCAGCUCUGGAUGGUGGUAAAAGCUACCUAAAACAGUCAUUGGGAAGCCUAAGUGAUAUUGAAACACUCAUCAUUAACGACCAUUCAUCAUUAAUGGCUAUUUCUUGACGGUGAUCCAUUGUUAUCUUCAGCCUUAUGAUGAUGUUGUCCUGAUUAAGCUGUGUCAGUAUUUCUCAUCCUUUAUUUUUCUGGUUGCAAUAUCUAUCAUAAGGGUGCAUACUGAUGAAGAUCACUGUAUUUGAACACCUCAAGAUGGUUUUUUUAGAGAUAUGCUUCUGGGACCGGAGGGAAAUCUUGACUGGUGUUUCAUUGUUUCAGAAUGCUCUUACCCUCAAAGAACUUGAGCUACAGAGUUACCCAUGGAAUGAAGCUUUUGGGCCAAUGAGCUUGUGGGAUCAAGGUCAGAAGAACAUUGCAGAUCUAUACCUUGAAAUGGACCACCUCGGAACUGUUACCGUGAAUGACUUCCUGGGGUUGGACUACGUAGUUGAUUUUGUCCACGUUCGGCACCACUGCUAAGUUAACUUAUCUCUUUAGUUUUUCACGUGCACGUUUUCCGAACUGCUAAACAGUGUAUAUUUUGCAAAA